AUGGUUGUGUCAGCUCGUGUCGUGAGAUGUGGGUUAAGUCCGCAACGAGCGCAACCCCUAUUGUUAGUUGCCAUCAUUCAGUUGGGCACUCUAGCGAGACUGCCGGUAAUAAACCGGAGGAAGGUGGGGAUGACGUCAAAUCAUCAUGCCCCUUAUGACCUGGGCUACACACGUGCUACAAUGGUUGGUACAACGAGUUGCGAGUCGGUGACGGCGAGCUAAUCUCUUAAAGCCAAUCUCAGUUCGGAUUGUAGGCUGCAACUCGCCUACAUGAAGUCGGAAUCGCUAGUAAUCGCGGAUCAGCACGCCGCGGUGAAUACGUUCCCGGGCCUU
rnacentral:rRNA from 1 species